UACGAAGGGUGCAAACGUUGCUCGGAAUUAUUGGGCGUAAAGCGCACGUAGGCGGCUUAGCAAGUCGGAAGUGAAAUCCCUCGGCUCAACCAAGGAAGUGCUUUCGAAACUGCUGAGCUUGAGUACUUAAGAGGAUCGCGGAAUUCCCGGUGUAGAGGUGAAAUGCGUAGAUAUCUGGAGGAACACCGGUGGCGAAGGCGGCAUCCUGGACCGGCAUUGACGCUGAGGCGCGAAAGCCAGGGGAGCAAACGGG
rnacentral:rRNA from 1 species